rnacentral:rRNA from 1 species
UACGGGGGGGGCAAGCGUUGUUCGGAACUACUGGGCGUAAAGGGCUCGUAGGCGGCCAACUAAGUCGGACGUGAAAUCCCUCGGCUUAACCGGGGAACUGCGUCCGAUACUGGAUGGCUUGAGUAUGGGAGAGGGAUGCGGAAUUCCAGGUGUAGCGGUGAAAUGCGUAGAUAUCUGGAGGAACACCGGUGGCGAAGGCGGCAUCCUGGACCAUUACUGACGCUGAGGAGUGAAAGCCAGGGGAGCAAGCGGG